GUGAGGAAUAUUGGUCAAUGGGCGGGAGCCUGAACCAGCCAAGUCGCGUGAAGGAAGAAGGAUCUAUGGUUCGUAAACUUCUUUUGCAGGGGAAUAAAGUGCAGGACGUGUCCUGUUUUGUAUGUACCCUGAGAAUAAGGAUCGGCUAACUCCGUGCCAGCAGCCGCGGUAAUACGGAGGAUCCGAGCGUUAUCCGGAUUUAUUGGGUUUAAAGGGUGCGUAGGUGGUAUGAUAAGUCAGCGGUGAAAGUUUGCAGCUUAACUGUAAAAAUGCCGUUGAAACUGUCGGACUUGAGUGUAAAUGAGGUAGGCGGAAUGCGUGGUGUAGCGGUGAAAUGCAUAGAUAUCACGCAGAACUCCGAUUGCGAAGGCAGCUUACUAAGCUACAACUGACACUGAAGCACGAAAGCGUGGGGAUCAAACAGGAUUAGAAACCCGUGUAGUCC
rnacentral:rRNA from 1 species